CUAUAUCAAUCUAUCUUUUAUUUAGCUCUAUCUCACAUCUUUCUUUCUUUCUUUCUUUAUCUAUCUUUCUCCUGAUACAGUAAAUUGCCACAAUCCUGCCUUCUGUGAUCUUGGAUACUACUAGUAUAAUUCAGCCUUGAACUGGACCUCUCUGCUUCAAUCCAAAACCCCUCCCAAUAGUUGCAGGGAGUCGACGGAGGCGUCAAUGAGAGCAUUUGCUUUCGGGAGGGAAAGCUCCCCGCAGGGUUCUCCAUUCAGCGACACCAACUCGUCCCCCUCGCAGAUCCCGGCCAGGGACGCAUGACCGCCCUCUUCCACCUAUGGGAAGACAAACAGUGUCAAAGCUCGCAUCCACUACAAGACCACAGUGCUUGCCUACGGACCAGCAAGUGGAACUGCCCCUCCCAUCUUCAGGCUAUGCUCAAACCCUAUAUUCCAACCUGAGCACUCUGUUCUGCCACCUCUGGUCUCUUGGCACUCCCACCCCUAUGGGAGGUCAGCUCCCACUUAGCCCAGUCAAAGCUCUUCUCUGUCCUGACACCCCAGUCGUGGAACGAGCUUCCCCCUGAUGCUAAGACAGCAGUCCCUGCCAAUCUUCCAAAAAUAUCCGAUACCCAACCUCUUAAAAUAAUAUCUUAAAUAAGACAUCGGUCUUACCCCACCCAAACUAAAAUGUAAACUGUGUACUUGCUUUUCGCCCAAAAAAGUACUUAUUAUGACUGUGAUAUGUGGUUCUCACCUAGCUAUCUUAAUAUGAAUGCACUUACUGUAAGUUGCUCUGGUUAAGUCUCUGCUAAAUGACUAAAAUGUUAAUGUACCGUGUAUAUAGCAGCAAACCAUGCAAAUGCAACCAUCCCUUUUGCUUUCACUUUGGUAGUAAAAAUCUGCUUUGUUUUCUAUUAAAUUCUCCAUUAAACCUG